GCGAAGGCAGGAGCGUGAGGUGAACUGAAUUUCAGGGAUCGGCUGUCCAGUUCCUCGGAUCCCUGCAGAGGAUAUUGGCAGACCACGUGUGGGCCACACGGAUCCUGUGCGGCGUCCUGGUCUUUCCCACCAUCGUAGGGAAACUCAUGUUCAGCAUCAUCAACUCGAACCUGCAGAGGACCAUCCUCGUGGGUCCAAAUACACUUACACUGUCAACAAACAUGAUCACAAUUGUUUUGCACAUGGCUUUGAUGAGCAGGAUAAAACCCUGGUACCCAAGUCAUCAUCUCCAAUUUUCAAAACCCAUCACAGUGCUCCUGUUUUAGUUAAAUACUGUGAGGUAAUGUUCAAGUUCUGGCAAAUGUAUUGAAAUGUUGAAAUAUUAGGAAGGAUGAAUAUAGAGCUCUGUAAUUUGAGUGAACAGACUGAAACAGAAACUCAAACUCCUUUGUUCAUGUGUAAAUAACGUGGCUUUGAAUUAACAAGUUCUUGCUGAGAUGAGAAUCUGAGUGUGAGAGCCUGUUUAACACACUGUAUAACCAACAACCUGGAAUAUUUAACCUGCACAUGUCAACUUCUGUACAGGCGUUGUGAGAUCUGCAGACUACACCUUUCCCAUCAGAUCUCCUCUCUGCCAAGAGAGAGGCUGAACUGCACACGAUGCUUCUAACUUUAGACUUCUACAGUAUGAGCUCUGUGAAUAAAUGUAUUUUCAAAAUAUUGACGUGCACGUGUUGAGACUGGAAAAGUGCGACAGACGAGUUUCCAUUCAGCUGUUUAUUAAUUAGAAACACACAAGAAACAUAAAAAGACCAAACUCAACACUCUUCACCUGCCCAUGACCCCCACCAGCCAAUCACAGUCGUUCUGAGUUGCUAAAUACAUCCAGAAAUUUAAAAUUUGAUUUUCUAAAUGAAAACCACUCACUAGGUACUUCACGUCAAACAGUGCACGGCCCGCCCAAGCCUGAUAUGUAACAUUGGUUUCUUCUAGAACGCUGUGUGAAAACUGCUUUAUCACCCGCUCUCCCGAGACGCUGUGGAGCUACAUGCUGUGUAAGUAACAGACUAAGGCA